CCUACGGGUGGCUGCAGUGAGGAAUAUUGGUCAAUGGGCGAGAGCCUGAACCAGCCAAGUCGCGUGAGGGAGUACUGCCCUAUGGGUUGUAAACCUCUUUUGUCGGGGAGCAAAAGCCGGACGUGUCCGGCUGUGAGAGUACCCGAAGAAAAAGCAUCGGCUAACUCCGUGCCAGCAGCCGCGGUAAUACGGAGGAUGCGAGCGUUAUCCGGAUUUAUUGGGUUUAAAGGGUGCGCAGGCGGAUUUUUAAGUCAGCGGUCAAAUCGUGGGGCUCAACCCCAUCCAGCCGUUGAAACUGGGGAUCUAGAGUGUGCGAUAGGUAUGCGGAAUGCGUGGUGUAGCGGUGAAAUGCAUAGAUAUCGCGCAGAACUCCGAUUGCGAAGGCAGCAUGCCGGCUCCACACUGACGCUGAGGCACGAAAGCGUGGGUAUCGAACAGGAUUAGAUACCCUUGUAGUC
rnacentral:rRNA from 1 species